rnacentral:rRNA from 1 species
GAUGUACGCUGGCGGCGUGCCUAAUACAUGCAAGUCGAGCGAACAGACGAGGAGCUUGCUCCUCUGACGUUAGCGGCGGACGGGUGAGUAACACGUGGAUAACCUACCUAUAAGACUGGGAUAACUUCGGGAAACCGGAGCUAAUACCGGAUAAUAUAUUGAACCGCAUGGUUCAAUAGUGAAAGACGGUUUUGCUGUCACUUAUAGAUGGAUCCGCGCCGCAUUAGCUAGUUGGUAAGGUAACGGCUUACCAAGGCAACGAUGCGUAGCCGACCUGAGAGGGUGAUCGGCCACACUAGAACUGAGACACGGUCCAGACUCCUACGGGAGGCAGCAGUAGGGAAUCUUCCGCAAUGGGCGAAAGCCUGACGGAGCAACGCCGCGUGAGUGAUGAAGGUCUUCGGAUCGUAAAACUCUGUUAUUAGGGAAGAACAAAUGUGUAAGUAACUAUGCACGUCUUGACGGUACCUAAUCAGAAAGCCACGGCUAACUACGUG